rnacentral:tRNA from 1 species
AACAAAGAAGUAAGAUUUACUUUUAGUUUCGACCUAAUUUUAGAGAUAAUUCUCCUUGUUU